CGAACGAUGCUUUCGGGCAUAGUGGCGCACGGGUGCGUAACGCGUGGGAAUCUGCCCUUUGGUUCGGAAUAACCGUUGGAAACGACGGCUAAUACCGGAUGAUGACUUAAGUCCAAAGAUUUAUCGCCAGAGGAUGAGCCCGCGUGAGAUUAGGUAGUUGGUGGGGUAAAGGCCUACCAAGCCGACGAUCUCUAGCUGGUCUGAGAGGAUGAUCAGCCACACUGGGACUGAGACACGGCCCAGACUCCUACGGGAGGCAGCAGUGGGGAAUAUUGGACAAUGGGCGCAAGCCUGAUCCAGCAAUGCCGCGUGAGUGAUGAAGGCCUUAGGGUUGUAAAGCUCUUUUACCCGGGAUGAUAAUGACAGUACCGGGAGAAUAAGCCCCGGCUAACUCCGUGCCAGCAGCCGCGGUAAUACGGAGGGGGCUAGCGUUGUUCGGAAUUACUGGGCGUAAAGCGCACGUAGGCGGCUUUGUAAGUUAGGGGUGAA
rnacentral:rRNA from 2 species